CUGAAGGGUUAUUGUAUUAUAUUCAAGAUGCUUUCAAUUUUUUUCCAGAUUUUGUUUCAGAAAUACAGAAGCCACUUCUGACCUAAUUGGUCAAAAUGCUGUUCCUUGGGAAAUAGCAUGGAAUGUCUUCUUUUCAAGGCAAAUGAUUUUGGGGGCUGAUGAGAGAGCUAGAAAGGGUCAUUCUGGUAGAGGAAAUAUUUUUAUCUGGGCCUCAGGAAAUGGUGGUCUGGCUAAUGACUGCAGUGGUGUGGAUGGUUAUGUGAACAGCAUUUACACAGGGGCAAAGGAUGCCAACAUAUACCUCUGCCCCACAGCUUCUGGUCUACAAGAACUACUCAGCAUCAGUGGCCACCUAGAUGAUCCAGCGAGGAAGGAGUGUGGAGGCUUCUAUCCUGAAAAAGACCUUCAAUGUGAAGCGAGGGCUGUGUCAGUUCCAGUCAUUUUCUGCCUUUCUAGCAUGCUUGCAGUUGAAAUAUGCAGAACACUGAGCAUCCUUCUGUUAUCUCAAGACCGGUAGGCAGAUUCUGGGCCAUAUCGGUCCUUCCCAGGGCAAGGCUAGCAGGAACAAGCUGAAAAUUAGGAUGAACACCUGCUUCCUGAGGUUCUGCUUGCUGGUGGCUGUGAGGGGCAGCAUCUCCAUGGAGCAAUCCAAGCUUCCACCCUGCAAACCUGGAGGAGCACUAAGGAUUAAUGUAGCCCAGGUCAGCUAUCCAAAGACCUUAUAUGAAGGUACCAGCCUGUUACAAAAUUACUCUAAGCAAUAUUCUUUUCCUCCAUAUAUGCUCUGUGAUAUAUGAAGUAACGACAACUGUGCCCUUCCAAGCUUUCACUUUUCCCUAGCACUCUGUAAUUCUUCCACAUACUUGCCUGCAGCAACGGCAUCACCAACGGCUUCUGGAGCAAGAAGUUAUAGUAUUGCAGAGCAUAGCCAUAUCCGCACAGAUCUUGGGACACAAUUCAGCUUCUUGGUCCCCUGCUACCAGAAGUCCCACAUCAGUAAACCUCACAUAAGUUACAUAAACAUAACGGAGAAGAGGUCUUGAUAUCAGAUCCGCACUAUGCUCCUCAAAGCAGGACCUGGUUGGCACUGAGAGAUGCCUUUUCCAGGAGAGCAGGCUCCCUCAGUAGCCAGUUCAAAGCAGCAGCUUCACUAAGGUAUUUUACAGGACUAUCUUUCACUUUCUGUUGACUAGAUUAGAAGCCUAACAAGACUAACUUUCUACCUGUGGCACUUCAUUUAUGUAUCUAAAUUUAGACACUGUGAAGAGCCUUAUAAUUUUACUUGUUUAAGGAAGAAUUUUGUAAUUUUGUUCUGGUCGCCAUCUUCUUUUAGGAUGAAAUUCACCCCUCUGCAGAAACCCAGUGCAAGGCUGUGAGUGAACCUCUCCAGUCCCUUGCAAGCUCUAAUUCAAAGGUUGUUCCAAAACAGAGCAUACCCCACAUAAAGUCCAGUUCAGGUUCAGCCUUCUAAUUGUAACAUUGCCUUGGAAAAAAAGGUCUGAACCUGUAGGGAUACACAGGGUUUAGCCUGACCCACUGCGUAGGAAUGAAUUGUCCUGCUUGUUACUUCAACCUAGUCAAGAGCUGCGAUCUUGAAAAGAAAAUUCCGUGGGAAAAUUUUAUUUCAGUCAAGGGGAAAAAAUCAGGAGUUAGGCCUCCAAAAAUUAUAAAGUGUUACGUUAAUUGCUUCUUUUCACUUGUCACCUUCUCGAUUUGAGCUUUUACAGUUCAUAUUUUUGAACUUUCCUCUGCAGUCCAAACCAUUAGGAACCUCUUUUUUUUUUUCUUUUCCUUACUGAUAACAGUGAUUAUCAGGUAAUAACAGGAUUUUUGAGGCUGCAGCAUUAAAAAAAUUGAUUGUUGUAAAAAUGUCUGAUGAAAUCACAAGUCCUGGCAACAUUAUCUCCCUAUAAAGUGUCUUUCUCUUUUCACAUAUUUAUUUGAAGCAAUUUCUCAAAUGAGACGGCCUUUUUUUUUACAUGUACAAAAGCUUUUGGGGGCUAGGAAAAAAGCAAGGAUGAACUCAGACCAUAGAUGAAAAUGUGGAGUGAUUGAUCAUGUAGCAUUCUAUCAAUGUCAAAAAUUAUUUGUCUGAUUCAUAAAAUGUUAUCUUAUCACCAUACAAAGAUAUAUGACAUGUCUUUUGAAACUGAAGCAUCAAUGUGAUAGAUUCCAAAACUUUAUCUCCCUAAAUUUACACUUGUAAAAUGGCACGCUCAAAUUUUCAAAGUGACCUAAUUAAGAAUACUAGGAACAAAUGCAGAUACUUAAUAAAUAAAAUAGGUUGGAUUUUUUUUUUUUAAUU
rnacentral:lncRNA from 1 species